UGGAUUGUACAAAGACUCAAACCAGGUGUG
rnacentral:piRNA from 1 species